rnacentral:rRNA from 1 species
AUUGAACGCUGGCGGCAUGCCUAACACAUGCAAGUCGAGCGAGCGGCGGACGGGUGAGUCACGUAUGGGGACCAGCCAGAUAGCGGGGGUUAACUACUGGAACCGGUGGCUAAUACCGCAUACCAUUGGAUGAACCCAUAUGGGAUUAGCUAGUAGGUGGGGUAAAGGCUCACCUAGGCGACGAUCCAUAGCUGGUCUGAGAGCAUGAUCAGCCACACUGGGACUGAGACACGGCCCAGACUCCUACGGGAGGCAGCAGUGGGGAAUAUUGCACAAUGGGCGCAAGCCUGAUGCAGCAAUGCCGCGUGUAUGAAGAAGGCCUUAGGGUUGUAAAGUACUUUCAGCAGGGAGGCGUUACCCGCAGAAAAAGCACCGGCUAACUCCGUGCCAGCAGCCGCGGUAAUAC